AACGAACGCUGGCGGCAGGCUUAACACAUGCAAGUCGAGCGCAUCCUUCGGGGUGAGCGGCAGACGGGUGAGUAACGCGUGGGAAUCUACCUUUUGCUACGGAAUAGCUCCGGGAAACUGGAAUUAAUACCGUAUGUGCCCUUAGGGGGAAAGAUUUAUCGGCAAGAGAUGAGCCCGCGUUGGAUUAGCUAGUUGGUGGGGUAAAGGCCUACCAAGGCGACGAUCCAUAGCUGGUCUGAGAGGAUGAUCAGCCACAUUGGGACUGAGACACGGCCCAAACUCCUACGGGAGGCAGCAGUGGGGAAUAUUGGAAAAUGGGCGCAAGCCUGAUCCAGCCAUGCCGCGUGAGUGAUGAAGGCCUUAGGGUUGUAAAGCUCUUUCACCGGAGAAGAUAAUGACGGUAUCCGGAGAAGAAGCCCCGGCUAACUUCGUG
rnacentral:rRNA from 1 species